rnacentral:rRNA from 1 species
AGUGGCGCACGGGUGAGUAACACGUAGGUGACCUACCGUUUGGAGGGGGAUAACCCGGAGAAAUUCGGGCUAAUACCGCGUAAGCACAACGACUUUGGAAGGAGUUGUGGAUAGGGUGCUUCGGCAUCUACCGAACGAUGGGCCUGCGGGACAUUAGCUUGAUGGUGGGGUAAUGGCCUACCAUGGCGACGAUGUCUAGCGGAUUUGAGAGAAUGAUCCGCCACACUGGAACUGAGACACGGUCCAGACUCCUACGGGAGGCAGCAGUGGGGAAUAUUCCGCAAUGGGGGAAACCCUGACGCAGCAAUGCCGCGUGAGUGAGGAAGGCCCUCGGGUUGUAAAGCUCUGUCAGAUAGGAAAAAUGGCAAAGGGUCUAAUAGGCCUUUUGUUUGAUGGUACUAUCAAAGGAAGCACCGGCUAACUUCGUGCCAGCAGCCGCGGUAAUACGAAGGGUGCAAGCGUUGUUCGGAUUUACUGGGCGUAAAGCGCGCGUAGGCGGAUUGGUAAGUCAGAUGUGAAAUCUCGGGGCUCAACCCCGAAACUGCGUCUGAAACUGCUUAUCUAGAAUCUUGGAGGGGGAAGGGGAAUUUCGCAUGUAGGGGUAAAAUCCGUAGAGAUGCGAAGGAACACCAGAGGCGAAGGCGCCUUCCUGGACAAGUAUUGACGCUGAGGCGCGAAAGCGUGGGGAGCAAACAGGAUUAGAUACCCUGGUAGUCCACGCCGUAAACGAUGAGCACUAGAUAUGGGGGAUAUUGACCUCUUCCGUGUCAAAGCUAACGCAUUAAGUGCUCCGCCUGGGGAGUACGGUCGCAAGACUAAAACUCAAAGGAAUUGACGGGGGCC